CACCCUCGCAAUGGACAAAGAGACACCUUGGUGGUGGUGGUGUCCUUAUAUCAGUCUGGGACAAAGCAGAUAGUAGUAUUUUAUUCAUCCUAGCUUGAUGCCUAGCUUGGUGUACAAAAUGACUUUAUUCCUAUGACUCAUAA